CCUACGGGAGGCAGCAGUGAGGAAUAUUGGUCAAUGGACGAGAGUCUGAACCAGCCAAGUAGCGUGAAGGAUGACUGCCCUAUGGGUUGUAAACUUCUUUUAUAUGGGAAUAAAACAGGGUAUGCAUACCCUCUUUUAUGUACCAUAUGAAUAAGGAUCGGCUAACUCCGUGCCAGCAGCCGCGGUAAUACGGAGGAUCCGAGCGUUAUCCGGAUUUAUUGGGUUUAAAGGGAGCGUAGGUGGAUUGUUAAGUCAGUUGUGAAAGUUUGCGGCUCAACCGUAAAAUUGCAGUUGAAACUGGCAGUCUUGAGUACAGUAGGGGUGGGCGGAAUUCGUGGUGUAGCGGUGAAAUGCUUAGAUAUCACGAAGAACUCCGAUUGCGAAGGCAGCUCACUGGACUGCGACUGACACUGAUGCUCGAAAGUGUGGGUAUCAAACAGGAUUAGAUACCCUAGUAGUC
rnacentral:rRNA from 1 species